rnacentral:tRNA from 1 species
GAAUUUGAAGCGAUCAAUUGCAAUUAGUUUCGACCUAAUCUUAGGUUUUAAGCCCUAAUUCU